AAUUUGGUUGUUUAGUGGAUGAUUUCUGAUUAUGGGUCAUGCUGUUAUAAUUUUGAGGGGGAUACAUGUAUGACGAUUCUUGGAAGCUAGUUAUGGCGAUACUUAAGGAGUAAGAAAGGGAAUAACGUUCGAGGUAUUAUAAAGAUAGCUCAGGAUCAGUUAUGUCAAGGAUGCUCCAGGAAGGCUGAGUUGAAGCGACUUUGUAUAUAUUUGGGAUUAUCUAGAAUACUCUGUAAUUAUGGGUAGUAUCUAUUGCUUAAUGAUGUUCAUUUGUUUGUUUAAGAGGCCAUUUUAGGCUGUUAUUUCUUAGUGGGCCAUAACCCACAGGCUUAA